rnacentral:rRNA from 1 species
ACCGCAAAACAAGCAGAGGGGGCUUAGUGGUGGGGUGACUGCGUACCUUUUGUAUAAUGGGUCAGCGACUUAUAUUCUGUAGCAAGGUUAACCGAAUAGGGGAGCCGGAGGGAAACCGAGUCUUAAUUGGGCGUUAAGUUGCAGGGUAUAGACCCGAAACCCGGUGAUCUAGCCAUGGGCAGGUUGAAGGUUGGGUAACACUAACUGGAGGACCGAACCGACUAAUGUUGAAAAAUUAGCGGAUGACCUGUGGCUGGGGGUGAAAGGCCAAUCAAACCGGGAGAUAGCUGGUUCUCCCCGAAAGCUAUUUAGGUAGCGCCUCGUGAAUUCAUCUCCGGGGGUAGAGCACUGUUUCGGCUAGGGGGCCAUCCCGGCUUACCAACCCGAUGCAAACUGCGAAUACCGGAGAAUGUUAUCACGGGAGACACACGGCGGGUGCUAACGUCCGUCGUGAAGAGGGAAACAACCCAGACCGCCAGCUAAGGUCCCAAAGUCAUGGUUAAGUGGGAAACGAUGUGGGAAGGCCCAGACAGCCAGGAUGUUGGCUUAGAAGCAGCCAUCAUUUAAAGAAAGCGUAAUAGCUCACUGGUCGAGUCGGCCUGCGCGGAAGAUGUAACGGGGCUAAACCAU